rnacentral:piRNA from 1 species
UACCCAAAAUAGCAGGGCCUUUGCUGAUAA